CAGCCGCCGCGGUAAUACGAAGGGGGCUAGCGUUGCUCGGAAUUACUGGGCGUAAAGGGAGCGUAGGCGGACAUUUAAGUCAGGGGUGAAUCCCAGAGCUCAACUCUGGAACUGCCUUUGAUACUGGGUGUCUUGAGUGUGAUAGAGGUAUGUGGAACUCCGAGUGUAGAGGUGAAAUUCGUAGAUAUUCGGAAGAACACCAGUGGCGAAGGCGACAUACUGGAUCAUUACUGACGCUGAGGCUCGAAAGCGUGGGGAGCAAACAGGAUUAGAGACCCCAGUAGUCCCUGUCUCUUAUACA
rnacentral:rRNA from 1 species